rnacentral:rRNA from 1 species
CUGCAGCCCGAGUGGUGAUCGAUUUUAUUGAGCCUAAAGCGUCCGUAGCCGGACUAGUAAACCCUUGGGUAAAUUGGGCAGCUUAACUGUCCAAAUUCCGAGGGGACUGCUAGUCUUGGGACCGGGAGAGGUCAGAGGUACUCCAGGGGUAGGGGCUAAAUCCUGUAAUCCUUUGGGGACCACCAGUGGCGAAGGCGCCUGACUAGAACGGAUCCGACGGUAAGGGACGAAACCCUGGGGCGCGAACCGGAUUAGAGACCCGAGUAGUCC